rnacentral:rRNA from 1 species
GAUGAACGCUGGCGGCGUGCUUAACACAUGCAAGUCGAACGGUGAAGGCGGAGCUUGCUCUGCUGGAUCAGUGGCGAACGGGUGAGUAACACGUGAGCAAUCUGCCCCUGACUCUGGGAUAAGCGCUGGAAACGGCGUCUAAUACUGGAUACGAGCUGCGAAGGCAUCUUCAGCAGCUGGAAAGAAUUUCGGUCAGGGAUGAGCUCGCGGCCUAUCAGCUUGUUGGUGAGGUAAUGGCUCACCAAGGCGUCGACGGGUAGCCGGCCUGAGAGGGUGACCGGCCACACUGGGACUGAGACACGGCCCAGACUCCUACGGGAGGCAGCAGUGGGGAAUAUUGCACAAUGGGCGAAAGCCUGAUGCAGCAACGCCGCGUGAGGGACGACGGCCUUCGGGUUGUAAACCUCUUUUAGCAGGGAAGAAGCGAAAGCGACGGUACCUGCAGAAAAAGCGCCGGCUAACUACGUG